AUCACCGACAAAACUUUCAAUUCCAAUCAAUUCUUGUAUUUUGGUACAUUAUUAUUCUUAUUAGCUGUUUUUUUAAUUGAGUGAAUUAAGAAUUUUUCUGUUUUUGAAGCAUAGUUCCUUACUUCCAAGCGAAAUGAGGUUUUUAAAUAUAUACACAUGUAAGAGGAUAUAAAAACUAUGACAUGUCAUCAUCAAUUGUGUGUCUAAUAAUGUCUAUUUCACUAUCCUUUCUAUAAUACUGCGUCUCUUAUGAAAUUUCUAGACAAGCAACAAAACAACAAAAACCACCAACAUUUUGAAGUCAGUCACUCAUCUUUCUAAACAACAAAUUCUAGUUCACUUUUGUUCCCGUUUUCUUGGGACAUUAAGGAAUAGUUUGCGGAAGAUUUUGUUGCUAUUUCUGACCUAUUAACCAUUUCUGAUAAAUUACACAUUACAAAAAUGCUUAUUACACACCAAAAUAUGUUUAGUUUUUAAAUAACUUCCUUGCUAGUCGCAAAUACUAUCCUGGGACCCACACCAGAUAUAACAAACUCCAUCUCUGCUGUGGUUACCACAACUUACAUAUAUAUAACAGAAAAAAAUUGAACAAUAAGGGAUAUAUAACAUGCCCAGUACGACAAACAUUGAAUCGCAAUAAAUUACUGCAUGUCGGAGACAAAUGUUUGAUACUCAAGUGAAGACGAAGACAUGGAAAAUCCGCAGCACUAGAUAUGCUAUGUGAAUUAUAUUCAGACAUUUGACUAACUAUUUUGGCAUGACCAGGUUCAGCACAACAGCUAAAAACCAAGUUUGCCGCUCUUCUUUGAUGUUUCACAUCAAAAUAUAGUUCACAGAAAUUGGAGGGAAUGUUUUAUUGAGUUUUGUGGGUUGAGAGAUUGAACGAAAACAUUAGUGCUGUAAUCAUGAGCAAGACUUCUGAUCUAACUGUUGACUAAAAGAUCAUCAGUAACAUACUUCACGAAAAGGGGAAGACACAGAGAAGAUUAUUUCUUUAAAAGCUGACUGUUCCCAGAUUUCAAUAUUGCAGCCACUUUCUGGGAUACCAUCUGGACAUGCAAGAUGAGGCAGAAAAAGGUGAGCCAGCAAGAAGGACAACUGUAACUUCAAGAGAACUGUGAAAAAAAAAAAGCCGGUUUGACAACGAGGAAGCUUUUCAUAAAAGGUUGACACAUAAGUUAAGGCAUGAAGAACCACUUUGUACAGAUAGCUAGCUUCAAGAGAUGGAACACAACAGCAAAGUACCUAGCACCAAACCUCUUUUCACUGACAGGCAAUGUUACAAGUGGUCGAUGGAGGCAAGGAGAAGCAGGAAAAUAAAGUGAUGAGCAGUGGCACAUUGUGACUUUUUCUUGAAUGGAGUAAGUUUUUGUAUCUCAUUUGGAAACAAAGUCUGCAGAAUUUGGAGGUCUGGAAAUCACAAAACACCAGCCAUUAGAAAGAAACUCAGUUUCAAAUUUCUGGCAAUCAGUGAUGCAAUGUCAUAUGUAGAUAUUGGACUAUUGUGUUUCUUCAGAGUUACAGCCAAUGCACAAGUCUACCAUGAGAUCUUGGAGCAUUCCUUGUUUCCUUAUAUCAACCAUCAAGCGAUUUGGCAAUGUGAAAUUUUUGUUUCAGCAAGAUUUGGUACCUGCACUUAGUACCAAAACAAACACUUCCUGCUUUACUGAUCAUCACAUCAAUGAGCUAGCUACCUUACCAAGGAACUGACUUGGCCUAAAUCCCAUACAGAAUCUAUGGGGUAUAGUUAAAAAGAUGGCUAAUUUGUGUCCCAGCAGUCAUUUGGUGGUUAAGGCGGUUCCCACACUAGCAGUCAGUCAAAAUGAUUAUAACAAAUCAGUAUCAACCAGGAAGAUAAUUAUUUAAUGAAGCUCAAUGCAACAACUAAACUGCUCCCUGCCUUAAAAAAAAAAGCCUUCAGUAUCCCUUUUUA